GAGCUGUUGUAAAACUUUCAACAUUUAUAUAAAUUUUUUGAUAUGAGCUAUAUUAAAGUUUUCUUAAAUAGCAUUUCUAUUGCUUGUACAAGAUUUACUCUCUUGAUUCAGAAGGUGUUUUGCUUCUCUUAAGUUUCUUGGUUGCUGACUUAUCCUUUUUCACUACCAUUAACAAUUUUAAGCAUAGGCAAUAUUCCUUCAAAAUUUCUGCAUGUUCAUUUGCAUUUUGUUUGCAAGGGAGUAUUUGUUAUUCAGAAACUAAUAG
rnacentral:misc_RNA from 1 species